rnacentral:misc_RNA from 1 species
UUUCCGUAGGUGAACCUGCGGAAGGAUCAUUAUUGGAUUUUGAAACUUCAGGCUGCUGCUGGCUCUCCUCGGAGGGCAUGUGCACGCUUGUUGUCCAUUAUUUCUCCCACUGUGCACAAAUUGUAGACCUUUCAGUAGGCCUAUGUUGUUUUUCACAAUCUCUGAAUGUAAUAGAAUGGUUUUGAAUCUUGGGAAAUACAAUACAACUUUCAGCAACGGAUCUCUUGGCUCUCGCACGAUGAAGAACGCAGC